GAUGAACGCUGGCGGCGUGCUUAACACAUGCAAGUCGAACGAUGAAGCCCAGCUUGCUGGGUGGAUUAGUGGCGAACGGGUGAGUAACACGUGAGUAACCUGCCCUUGACUCUGGGAUAAGCCCGGGAAACUGGGUCUAAUACCGGAUAGGAGCGCCUGUCGCAUGACGGGUGUUGGAAAGAUUUUUCGGUCAUGGAUGGACUCGCGGCCUAUCAGCUUGUUGGUGAGGUAAUGGCUCACCAAGGCGACGACGGGUAGCCGGCCUGAGAGGGUGGCCGGCCACACUGGGACUGAGACACGGCCCAGACUCCUACGGGAGGCAGCAGUGGGGAAUAUUGCACAAUGGGCGGAAGCCUGAUGCAGCGACGCCGCGUGAGGGAUGACGGCCUUCGGGUUGUAAACCUCUUUCAGUAGGGAAGAAGCGAAAGUGACGGUACCUGCAGAAGAAGCACCGGCUAACUACGUG
rnacentral:rRNA from 1 species